CCUACGGGUGUCAGCAGUGAGGAAUAUUGGUCAAUGGGCGCGAGCCUGAACCAGCCAAGUAGCGUGAAGGAUGACUGCCCUACGGGUUGUAAACUUCUUUUAUAAAGGAAUAAAGUGAGGCACGUGUGCCUUUUUGUAUGUACUUUAUGAAUAAGGAUCGGCUAACACCGUGCCAGCAGCCGUGGUAAUACGGAGGAUCCGAGCGUUAUGCGGAUUUAUUGGGUUUAAAGGGAGCGUAGAUGGGUUGUUAAGUCAGUUGUGAAAGUUUGCGGCUCAACCGUAAAAUUGCAAUUGAUACUGGCAGGUUUGAGUACAGUUUAGGCAGGCGGAAUUCGGGGUGUAGCGGAGAAAUGCUUAGAGAUCACGAAGAACUCCGAGUGCGAAGGCAGCUUACUAAACUGCCACUGACAUUGAUGCUCGAAAGUGUGGGUAUCAAACAGGAUUAGAUACCCUGGUAGUC
rnacentral:rRNA from 1 species